rnacentral:rRNA from 1 species
GAUGAACGCUGGCGGCGUGCUUAACACAUGCAAGUCGAACGAUGAAGCCCAGCUUGCCGGGUGGAUUAGUGGCGAACGGGUGAGUAACACGUGAGUAACCUGCCCUUAACUCUGGGAUAAGCCUGGGAAACUGGGUCUAAUACCGGAUAGGAGCGUCCACCGCAUGGGGGGUGUUGGAAAGAUUUAUCGGUUUUGGAUGGACUCGCGGCCUAUCAGCUUGUUGGUGAGGUAAUGGCUCACCAAGGCGACGACGGGUAGCCGGCCUGAGAGGGUGACCGGCCCCCCUGGGACUGAGCCACGGCCCAGACUCCUACGGGAGGCAGCAGUGGGGAAUAUUGCACAAUGGGCGCAAGCCUGAUGCAGCGACGCCGCGUGAGGGAUGACGGCCUUCGGGUUGUAAACCUCUUUCAGUAGGGAAGAAGCGAAAGUGACGGUACCUGCAGAAGAAGCACCGGCUAACUACGUG